GCCCUCACUGGGGAAGGAGUUGACAAUGGGGACUGCUGCCGAGCUGGUGGAUUGGGUGGAGGCAGUGGUACAGAGGGCGUUGACGCACUAGAAUGAUUUUGCAUCCGCUCUUGCUUCUUUGAAAUAUGAGGGGCCUGGGUAGCCUUGGGUUUCUUCACUCUCUCGGGCGUAGGAAUGUGAUUCCAAGAACUCCCCUGCAACUCAUCCACAGGUUGAAAAUCCCUCCUGCCGCCUUCAAGCUUAAUCAAUUUAUCCUGAAGCGGUCUAAACAAGUCCUCAAAUCGUCCAAGAAGCUGCUCAGCAAAGCCAUGAACUUUAUCUGUUUUAGGGUUAUACAACAAGGCAUUAUUGAAAGUAAGCCUUACAUCAGCUGCAAAUUCAAAUGGGGUAGCGUAAGAAUUCUUAGACAAAUUCAAUUUGACCGUCCCCAAAUCCAUGGGUCGCUUAAUAAUCUGGUGGUAAUCAUGAAGACCCAAGGCUUCAGCAUCAACAGGGGUAUUGAAAAUCCACCCAUUUUUAUGCUUCAUCAGCUUUCCCAAAAUCUGCUUGCAAUCCUUCAUCAUACCUUCCAUUGCGAUAGCCUUAAGACCACCACCACCACCACCAGGAUUACCAAAAUUCCUAUU
rnacentral:lncRNA from 1 species